GCCACCGUAGCUCAGUUGGUAGAGCAUCGCUUUCGUAAAGCGGGGGUCGUCGGUUCAAUCCCGACCGGUGGCUCCA
rnacentral:tRNA from 1 species